rnacentral:rRNA from 1 species
AGUCACACAUUAGAUACCCCCGUAGUCCCAGCCGUAAACUAUGCUCGCUAGGUGUCAGGCAUGGCGCGACCGUGUCUGGUGCCGCAGGGAAGCCGUGAAGCGAGCCACCUGGGAAGUACGGCCGCAAGGCUGAAACUUAAAGGAAUUGGCCGGGGGGAGCACAACAACGGGUGGAGCCUGCGGUUUAAUUGGACUCAACGCCGGACAACUCACCGGGGACGACAGCAAUAUGUAGGCCAGGCUGAAGACCUUGCCUGAAUUCGCUG